rnacentral:rRNA from 1 species
AAAGGGAGCGUAGGCGGCUGAUUAAGUCAGCGGUGAAAGGUAGCAGCUUAACUGUUUUACAUGCCGUUGAUACUGGUUAGCUUGAGUUGACAGAGGCAGAUAGAAUUCCUGGUGUAGCGGUGAAAUGCUUAGAUACCAGGAGGAAUACCGAUUGCGAAGGCAGUCUGCUGCAGUCACACUGACGCUGAGGCUCGAAGGUGCGGGGAUCAAACAGGAUUAGAUACCCCAGU